ensembl:lncRNA
GUCUAGAAUUAAUUGCUUAGCAUAACUUGCUUAGCAUUAGUAGCUAAAUUUGCUGAAGCCUUAGGCCUCAGGCUGUGAACUUUUACUUAGAUAAGUAAAAGGGGGCCCCAGGGCCUGUUCAAGCUGAAGAGAUAAAGUUGCACGGACGGCAGGAGUAGCCAACCUUGAAGAUAAGAAGUAGCCUGCCUAGAGACAAUGAAGGGGCCCAGUGAAGAAGGGGAAGAACCCAGACCUAACUAUUACUAUUGGUCCAAACUAUCGCUUAAGGGGUGGGGAAUUUAGAUUGUAAGGGUAUAAUUGCCCAGGGAUUUCUUUGUUCGGGGUCCCUCUUUGGAGGCACCCAGCUCGAGCUGUAAUUACUGCACGUGUAUCAUUAAAUUUUAUUUCUCUCCAAUCUGACUUCGAACUUCUGCCUCAGCAGGAACCUAGGGUUGGACCCUGUUAUGGAGGCCGGCGAGCCUGAUUUUCCAUAACAUAAUGAUCUCUCUGUGAUUUAGAGGCUUCUGCUGUAUUAUAUCAAAGAAGAGGAGACCCUAUAUGCUGGAAUUGGGAUAGAAGCCAGCAGGGAAGUUUAAACCUUGGAAAAAUUUCAGAGUUGCCACUUUUUCCUACGUGUAAUGACAGAGGACAUAUUACUGCAUAUUUGCACAACUUAUUCACUAGCUGAAUACCAUCUUGUGAAAACUGUGCCUUCACUUUUGGAGAGCUUGACUCAAGGUGGGCGGGAAAAGAAAGAUCCCAGUUUGGCUACAGACCUACCUGCCACUUGGAUCAAAGAAAAGAAAAGUCUACCCAGGCCAGGAGCUGAAGUGAAGCAAUGCCAGGAGCCGUGGGGGAGGAAACACAGGGCAAGAGAAAGUCACCCUAAAGCUGGACGGCUGCAGGGGCUAUUUCCCACUUCCGCGUUGAUGAUGCCAGAUGACAAGACACUUCAAAGAGGGGCCAGCAUUCAGCGGACCCGUGUUCAAGGCUCAUGCAAGCGAGGCCUCAGCUGGCUGUCCUGGAAAGCGAGGAGCCGGCCCCGAGGUGACAAAUCCCUCCCUGGGGGUCGCCUGCCCUGGGCGCCAACAGAGAUGCUGCGUCGGUGGGAAAAGUGCUCCGUGAAAACCCGAGCGCGGAGGAAGGGGCAGCCUUUACGCGGGGCUCCCCUCUCACCUCUCCUGUCUCAAGAGCCCCCUGGUAUUUUCAGCCUCGACUCUUCCCCCCACCCCGCCACCGCAAUGGGGUUUUGUGUGCCAUGGGCUGGUGCUUCACUUCAUCAGACGACGUCACCCCGCUCCUGCGGGACGCCCCGGAGAGGCAGGCAGUGCUCUGACGCCGAACGUCCCUCCCGGCGCGCUUCUGUGCUGGGGCAGCACUGCGGCAGUGGCCGCAGCUUCGCGGUGACUCGGGAGCUUGCCUGCUUUUUGGUAUCGCUGAGGAGGCCGACGAGGAAAAACAGUGGCUUCUGCCUGUGUCGGUUCCCCUGGGAUGGCCGGGCCCUCCCGGGUUUCAGCAGCUCCCCCUGCCACCUGGGGCAGUGCCGGCUCCCUGCAGUCCCGGUGCGCUGAGCUCCCUGCCUCUGCUGCGCCCGUCGUGGCGGAAAUCUCCUUUCUAUGUCAUCUGAGCAGCAUAAAAGAGUUGAGUUAUUUCUGACAAUGCUGGAAGAAAGGAGUGGAGAGGGUAGAGGGCGAAACUUUGUAGAAAUUUCAGCGUGACUCCGAAUGCAGUGUAAACCUUGGGAGGGAAUAAUUGAAUUAGCACCUUGAUUUGCUCUCGCUCCCGCAGCACGCUGCGAUACCUUUUGCUGCCCUAGCUGCAGUCCGUAGCAUUUCUGUCCCUGUAAUACAUGUCAUACAUCUCCUUAAGAGCUCUGUUCCCUUAGACAGCAAACCACAUUCUGCUUGACUCCCUCAGGAAGGACAAAACAAGCCCCCACCCCGAAACUCUGCUAAUUUCCCGGUUAAAAGGAUUUUUCUUACAUAAGUGAGUAGAACUGUGGCUGCUUUGUUAAAAAAAAAAAAAAGUGUUUUUUUUCUUUUUUUAAGCAGACAAAGAUGUGUAUAAAUCUGUGUGUCUUAUACAUAUAUGUAUAUGUCUUACUGAAAAUAGCAUUUAACAAAUGCCUUCUGCAUCUGCAGAAUUCUCCAACAAUCCUGACACUGUGAUCAAUCUGUAUUCUGGUGAUGUUUGGUGACAGUGAUUGAUUGAUUUUUCCUGCUAAUAGGAUCAACAUUGGGAAUAUAUUAAACUAAAAGGCACACUUCUGACUUUCAGGAAACACCCUGUGUAUUGGGCCUGAUCCAAUUGUAUUGGUUUUGGCAGCAGGAUACAAUGAUUGAUGACAGCCAGGGAGUCGAGGGCUGCUUGGAAGAAGAGUUGGAUUCCCUUAGCGGUCUCUCCAUGUGCAUGACACUGGUUUCCUGCUGGGACAGGGACACGCAUAAGAAGGGACAAUGGAGCAGGGUGGCCCAUCCAGAUAACCUCUUCUAAUGCAUAUGGUGAGAUCUGACAUGCCAGUUCAAGAAGAGAAGGCAAAAAGCUGAUGGGAAAUUAAUUCUCAGGAGUUUG